AUUCUUAUUUUAAUAUGUGUAUUUGUGAUUAAGUUUUAUAACAUGAAUUUUUCAGUUCGAGUAGCAGGGAAGUCGCCUUUGUUGGGAGAACCUGUGCCUCUCGGUUCGAGCGGAGACUUCUAGUCUGGGUUGUGGUACAAGCUUAAAGGUGCCUCCCACAGUUGGGGCCCUCCCCAGGAUACCUCAUGGUCAAAACCAAAAAAAAAAAAUGAAUUUUUCAGGUUAUACCGAUUGGUCGGAGGGUGUAGGUCCCCCAUUUUUUUCACUUAUUGCUGAUGAUGAAAUUAAUGGAAAUAUUGAUCUUCUUGUGGUCCCGCAAUAUGGAAGAAAUCUUUAUCACACUGGUUAAGAAUAUGCAGUAUUAGUCUCUUAUGUUAUGUUUAAGAAAAUAAAAGUAUGGGUAUUGUUAUUACCCGUCAAUUGUAUGAUGGUCUCAGUUUGGUUCAGUUUAAUUUGUAAGAUCUCUUGAUAUAUACAAGAGAUUCUCUUUGUCUAGCUAUUUAUGUGUACCAUGUUAUUCUAAAAGAAAAAUAAAUAAAAAAAUUUAAUAAUAAUGAUGAUGAUGAAAUUAAUGACAAUAAUAAUAAUUAAAAUAAUAAAAUAAAUAAAUUUUAAAUAUAAUAAUGAUAAUAAUAUAAUAUUAUUAUUACAUUAUUAUAAACAAUAAAGGACCUAUUUGCAAAUAAUUCAAGAAAUUUGAGUUUGUUUGAUAAAUUCCAUGGGAACCAAAAAGAAAAAAAUGACAUAACUUACUUGAGAGUAAUUUAGAGAUUAUAAAAGUUUAAUGGGAGUAAAAUGGGUAGUUAUAGAAAUCGAAUUCAGAUUCCAAACCCCUCGCUUUGGAAUCAGAGCUAUGGUAGUGAUUCUCAAAUUUGUGGGUCCGACACUACUUCAGUUCCAAUCCCAAACCUUAAUUUUGCAAGUAAACAUGUCAUUGAUUUUGAUUCUAAAUUUUCCAUUUCGAUUGUUGUACCAUUAGUUGAAAUAUAAUGAGAAGAGCAAGUGAGAAACAAUAGAGAUAAAAUAUUUUUAAUGGGAGUAAUUUGAGAAAUAAAUCGAAUUAAUCAAAAUAGAGUAUGGUGAAAUAAAGAGUGAUAUCAAAAAAGUUUGAGGAGGGGGCACAAAAAUGAUAGAAUGGGGCUGCGCCGUUUCUGUGGCUGUGCUAUGGUCAUUCUUAUUACUAAUAUCCGCUACGCGUUAAGCGGGCUAGCUUGAGGAUAUGUUUUCUCAUAUUAAAUUUGGAUGCAGCGAUUCCGCCAGCUUAUAUCACAGAUUCACAAAAGUCCUCAGCAAAGAAUAGAAAUAGAUAUUGUGAAAAAAACGCAGCAGGGUUAAUACAAGCGCACUGGAUAUUGUUUUGUUAAGUCAAAUAGUAAGCAAAUGCUAUUUCUUAAAAUAAUACCAGUCAAGAUACAGUAGUUGAUACCAUAUUAUUUCUCAUUUGGACCAAAAAAAUUGUGGGACGAGAAAUCCGCUUGUCAUUUAUCAAACAGCGACAAACCAAUGCAUUUUCGGAUGGGUAUUAAUGCUCAUCCUAUAGGAGAGAAACUAGGUGAUUGAAGACCACGCGGAGAAAAAGAAGAAGAAAAAGAUGAUGCAAGUUAAUAAGAUGAAGACUUUUGAGUAAAAAGAAACAAGUAUUAAUCAAUUCAUGAACAAAGAGCUAACAUUGUAACAAGAUCACGAAAGUAAAUUAAAAUUAGUUCCACAUAACACAUAAUUCUCAUGGAAAAAUAUAAGUCUGGCGGUCUUUUUAGCAUCAACUCUCUCUCACUUCUAUUUGAAACUAGGAAAAGGUGUUCCAAGAACAAAUGUUUUUCAUUCGUCCAAUACCCAACAAAAUUUGAGAUUUUGUUAGAAAAGACAAAAUAGUUUAUUUAAGUUUCAAAAGCUCUAUUAAAUAAACAACCAAACAAUAACGAAAAUUAAAAUAAGAGCUGAUGAAAUUAAAUAAAUACUUGACUUGUGAUCAUUAAAUAAAUCGUACCAAACAAGCACAUAAUCUCAAGGAAACCCCUCCCUAAAUUCACGAAAGUUAGUGAAUCCUCCUCGAUGAUCUGCUGUUUCUUCACUCUCCAUUUACCAACCUUGAAAAAGCGAAAACGACAAACAAAAAUGAAAACGAUCUCCAAUUACAUUCAUAUCCCUUGCAUUUUAUACCCAGCACAGCAAUGUUCACAUCCCCAGCAGUAUUAUCCAGCGCAGCAAUGGUCACAUCCUUUGCAAAGAUCACCAUGGCAGCAAUUUAUACGUCCUUCACGGGAAAUUUUAACAAUGAAGCAAUGAUAAAAUCCAGUGCCGCCAAGUCAGAGAUUGCACGGACAAUCACUGGAGAUCUAACUUUCUUAAUUUCCGUUUACGAAUUAAUUUGGUAAUAUAUUAGUAUUUUAGCUGAGGGAGAAAAAAAUAGAAUAUGCUAUGCAGCCUAUUUUAUUAAUGAGAAAAAAAAAAUUGAUUGAUAAAAGAGAUUUGAUGUGUAUUUACACAUAAAAGAUGUCCUUUUGAUUCUUUAUCUUUUUAUUGGGUGCAGUCAGUGACAAAUCAUGAAAUUAUCUGAACUUAGAGGAAGAAAUUUGCUUAAUGAACAACGAUUUCAUAGAAAUAUAAACAGAGUGCAUGCCCUGCUUUUUAGUUUUGGGUAUUUAAAAAGAAAAAAAAAACAAGGAAAAUUUUGGACUUGAUUA
rnacentral:lncRNA from 1 species